rnacentral:rRNA from 1 species
ACUUAGUGAUCCGGUGGUUCUGCGUGGAAGGGCCAUCGCUCAACGGAUAAGAGCUACCCUGGGAUAACAGGCUUAUCUCCCCCAAGAGUCCACAUCGACGGGGAGGUUUGGCACCUCGAUGUCGGCUCAUCACAUCCUGGGGCUGUAGUAGGUCCCAAGGGUUGGGCUGUUCGCCCAUUAAAGUGGUACGCGAGCUGGGUUCAGAACGUCGUGAGACAGUUCGGUCCCUAUCCGUCGCAGGCGUAGGAAAUUUGAGAAGACCUGUCCUUAGUACGGGAGGACCGGGAUGGACGUACCUCUGGUGUACCAGUUGUCCUGCCAAGGGCAUGGCUGGGUAGCUAUGUACGGAAUGGAUAAGCGCUGAAAGCAUCUAAGCGCGAAGCCAACUUCAAGAUAAGAUUUCCCACCG